rnacentral:rRNA from 1 species
GACAGAGGCCUCAAGCGUUAGGCGGAAUCACUGGGCUUAAAGCGUGUGUAGGCGGAUCGUUAAGUACCUUGUGAAAUCCCACGGCUCACCCGUGGAACUGCUGGGUAUACUGGCGGUCUUGGGCCAACUAGGGGCAGCUGGAACAAGCGGUGGAGCGGUGAAAUGCGUAGAUAUCGCUUGGAACGCCGAAGGUGAAAACAGGCUGCUGGGGUUGUGCC